UUUGUAAAGAGCUGGUUUGUCGCGUCUGCCGUGAAAGUCCGGGGCUUAACCCCGGAUCUGCGGUGGGUACGGGCAGACUAGAGUGCAGUAGGGGAGACUGGAAUUCCUGGUGUAGCGGUGAAAUGCGCAGAUAUCAGGAGGAACACCGAUGGCGAAGGCAGGUCUCUGGGCUGUACUGACGCUGAGGAGCGAAAGCAUGGGGAGCGAACAGGAUUAGAUACCCUGGUAGUCCAUGCCGUAAACGUGUGUGGGGGACAUUCCACGUUUUCCGCGCCGUAGCUAACCCCCGCCUGGGGAGUACGGCCGCAAGGCUAAAACUCAAAGGAAUUGACGGGGGCCCCCACAAAUUCGAUGCAACGCGAAGAACCUUACCAAGGCUUGACAUCUUGGCCAAUGAUGCAGAGAUGUGUCAGCCACUUGUGGCCGGUUUACAUGGUGCAUGGUUGUGGUCAGCUCGUGUCGUGAGAUGUUGGGUUAAGUCCCGCAACCAGCGGGUUAUGCCGGGGACUCAUGGGAGACUGCCGGGGUCAACUCGGAGGAAGGUGGGGCCCUUAUGUCUUGGGCUUCAAAUGGCCUACAAAUU
rnacentral:rRNA from 1 species